rnacentral:rRNA from 1 species
UACGAAGGGGGCUAGCGUUGUUCGGAUUUACUGGGCGUAAAGCGCACGUAGGCGGAUCUUUAAGUCAGAGGUGAAAUCCCAAGGCUCAACCUUGGAACUGCCUUUGAUACUGGGGAUCUUGAGUCCGGGAGAGGUGAGUGGAACUGCGAGUGUAGAGGUGAAAUUCGUAGAUAUUCGCAAGAACACCAGUGGCGAAGGCGGCUCACUGGCCCGGUACUGACGCUGGAGGUGCGAAAGCGUGGGGAGCAAACAGG